AAUCAACGCUGGCGGCGUGCCUCAGACAUGCAAGUCGAACGAUUAAGACUUCCUUCGGGAAGUGUAUAAAGUGGCGCACGGGUGAGUAACACGUAAGUAAUCUACCCUCGAGUGGUGAAUAACGUUCGGAAACGAACGCUAAUACCGCAUAACGCAGCGGCACCGCAAGGUGACAGUUGUUAAAGGAGUAAUUCGCUUGA
rnacentral:rRNA from 1 species